AGUGAUAAAUUUAUUUAUAUUUAAUUUGUUUAAUUUAAUUAAUAAAAAUAAUUUUAAUAAUUAAUUUAUUUAGUAUUGUUUAAAGAAAAAUAUUUAUUUAAUUAUAGUUUAAUAGUAUUGUAAAAGAAAAUUUAUUUGUAUUAAAUUUUAAAAAAGUAGAAUUAAUUUUUUGUACCUUGUGUAUCAGGGUUUAUUAAAAAAAAGUUUUAUAUUAAAAUUUUCUCGAUUUUAAGAGGGAAAAUAAUUUAUUUUUUUUAUUGUAAAAAAAAUAUUUAAAAUAAAUUAUUAGUAAUGAAAUGUUAUUCGUUCUUAAAUAUAUCUAGUUUAUUUAGAAAUAAAUUUAAUUUAGAUUAUUAUUUAAAAAUAAAUUAUUUGAAAAAUUUAUUUUAUUUUAAUAAUUAAUAAUUAAAGGGAUAAGCUUUUAAUUAAAAAUUUAAAAAUUAAUAGUAUAAUAAUAAAAUUGUAAGUUUAGAAAUAUCUAUCAAUAAUAAUUUGUUAUAAUUAAUUUAUUAAAAAAUAUUAUUUUAUAUAAUUUUAAAUUUUUUAUAAAUAUAUACUUAAAAAUUAUAUAUAAGUAGUAAUAAUGAUAAAAUUAGUAUAUUUUAAAUAUUUAAAUAAUAAUAUUUAAAAUUUUAUUUAAAGGAAUUCGGCAAAAAUUUUACUCGCCUGUUUAACAAAAACAUCUCUUUUUGAUUUUUAUAUAAAGUAUAACCUGCCCACUGAAUUAUUUAAAUGGCCGCAGUAUUUUGACUGUGCAAAGGUAGCAUAAUAAUUAGUUUUUUAAUUAAAAGCUUGUAUGAAUGGUUGGACGAGGUAAAUACUGUCUUUAAAUAAUUUAUUAUAGAAUUUAAUUUUUAAGUCAAAAAGCUUAAAUAAUUUUAAAAGACGAGAAGACCCUAUAGAUCUUUAUUAUUUAUUAUUUAAAAAUUAUUUAGAUUUUUAUAGUUUUUAGAUAUUAAAUAAUUUUAUUGGGGUAAUAUAAAGAUUUAAGUAAUUCUUUAUUAAUUUAAACAUAAAUUUAUGGUUUAUUUGAUCCAAUAUUAUUGAUUAUAAGAUUAAGUUACCUUAGGGAUAACAGCGUAAUUUUUUUAAAGAGUUCAUAUCGAUAAAAAAGAUUGCGACCUCGAUGUUGGAUUAAAAGUAAUUUUAGGUGUAGAAGCUUAGAGUUUUGGUCUGUUCGACCAUUAAAUUUUUACAUGAUCUGAGUUCAGACCGGCGUAAGCCAGGUCGGUUUUUAUCUUUAAAAGUUAAUUAUAUUUUAGUACGAAAGGACCAAAUAUAAGAUAUAUUAAUAUUUUAAAUUUUGAAUAUUAUUAA
rnacentral:rRNA from 1 species